GACGAACGCUGGCGGCGUGCUAAACACAUGCAAGUCGAACGGAAAGGCCCUGCUUGCAGGGUACUCGAGUGGCGAACGGGUGAGUAACACGUGGGUGAUCUGCCCUGCACUUCGGGAUAAGCCUGGGAAACUGGGUCUAAUACCGGAUAGGAGCCAUUUUUAGUGUGAUGGUUGGAAAGUUUUUUCGGUGUAGGAUGAGCUCGCGGCCUAUCAGCUUGUUGGUGGGGUAAUGGCCUACCAAGGCGGCGACGGGUAGCCGGCCUGAGAGGGUGGACGGCCACAUUGGGACUGAGAUACGGCCCAGACUCCUACGGGAGGCAGCAGUGGGGAAUAUUGCACAAUGGGCGCAAGCCUGAUGCAGCGACGCCGCGUGGGGGAUGACGGCCUUCGGGUUGUAAACUCCUUUCGCUAGGGACGAAGCUUUUUGUGACGGUACCUAGAUAAGAAGCACCGGCUAACUACGUG
rnacentral:rRNA from 1 species